rnacentral:misc_RNA from 1 species
GGUAGUCUGAAAAAUACAAUUCAAUAGUUAGCUUGAAUGGUAAUUUAUUUUAUUUUUUACACAUCAAUAUAACACAUAAUUAUAUAAGCUGUACAUCAAACCUCAUUUAUAUCUUAUUUUUUACGUAUAACUAAGUUAUUUUUAUAACAAAAAUCGAACUUCAGACAACGCGGAAUUAAUACCUAUCUGCUUCUCAACAUACGUAAGCCUUUAACAUUUUGAUUUGAUACAUCACAUUAGUUAGCGGUCCGUCGUCAAGUCUCAUAAACACACCAGCAUUCAAAAUAAACAGACGUUGAAUAUAUAAAGUUCGAAAAAUUACACUUAGUGUUAUAAUGAUAAGAAAAUUGUGAUAGUGUCUUACAUAUGAAUAAAUAAUGUAUCAAACGGUCAUUUUGGUGAUACUCACCGUGUCAUUGUUCCAUAUCAUCACUUGUCGUAUUUUAAUGAGGACUAGUCCAGGGAAUAUGGAAAUUAAUGAUUAUAAAAAUCUAUCGGAAGAUUACAAGAAAUACAGUUAUUUAAUAACGACGUAUUUAUAACGACUGCAAGUUUUGGUGUAUUAUUAUUAUUUUUUAGAACAUUUCGAUCACAAAUGUUCCCAAAAAAAACUUUUGACUUUAUAUAUUGUAUAUAUACAAGUAAACUGUGAUUUAUAUUUUUAAUUAAUAAAUGAAUUUUGGUAUAAGAUU